ACUCCUACGGGAGGCAGCAGUAGGGAAUUUUCCGCAAUGGACGAAAGUCUGACGGAGCAAUGCCGCGUGAGUGAUGAAGGUUUUCGAAUCGUAAAGCUCUGUUGUAAGGGAAGAAUAGCAAGAAUAGGAAAUGAUUCUUGUCUGACGGUACCUUACCAGAAAGCCACGGCUAACUACGUGCCAGCAGCCGCGGUAAUACGGAGGGUGCAAGCGUUAUCCGGAAUCAUUGGGUUUAAAGGGUCCGCAGGCGGUCAAUUAAGUCAGAGGUGAAAUCCUAUAGCUUAACUAUAGAACUGCCUUUGAUACUGGUUGACUUGAGUUAUACGGAAGUAGGUAGAAUGUGUAGUGUAGCGGUGAAAUGCAUAGAUAUUACACAGAAUACCGAUUGCGAAGGCAGCCUACUACGUAUAUACUGACGCUCAUGGACGAAAGCGUGGAGCGACAGGAUUAG
rnacentral:rRNA from 1 species